AUGAACGCUGGCGGCGUGCCUAAUACAUGCAAGUCGAGCGAACAGACGAGGAGCUUGCUCCUUUGACGUUAGCGGCGGACGGGGGAGUAACACGUGGAUAACCUACCUAUAAGACUGGGAUAACUUCGGAAAACCGGAGCUAAUACCGGAUAACAUGUUGAACCGCAUGGUUCAACAGUGAAAGACGGUCUUGCUGUCACUUAUAGAUGGAUCCGCGCCGCAUUAGCUAGUUGGUAAGGUAACGGCUUACCAAGGCAACGAUGCGUAGCCGACCUGAGAGGGUGAUCGGCUACACUGGAACUGAGACACGGUCCAGACUCCUACGGGAGGCAGCAGUAGGGAAUCUUCCGCAAUGGGCGAAAGCCUGACGGAGCAACGCCGCGUGAGUGAAGAAGGUCUUCGGAUCGUAAAACUCUGUUAUUAGGGAAGAACAAAUGUGUAAGUAACUAUGCACGUCUUGACGGUACCUAAUCAGAAAGCCACGGCUAACUACGUG
rnacentral:rRNA from 1 species